UGGGCCCCAGGCGCCGACGUCCCAUCUGGGUGUGUCGUGCUGAGAGUGCAUGUGCCUCAAUUCCGGACCGUUCGUGCAAGCCGGUUUCGUACAGGUUUCCACGCUUCUAAGGUCAGGCGGUUGUACGCACGCACCGGCAGCCACUCGCAUCGUCAAAUUCGCAUUUAGUUCCUGUACGCACUCCAAUUUCCGACUCCUUGUCCCGAUGCCGCAGCUGACCGAACAUUCGCCCCACGGCUCGGCCCUCCACCUGCAACCACGCGGACAGGGAUUGUCGUUGCAACGCAACGGGGGCGGUUGUUGCGGUUUUUCCACGUUACGACAACGCUUGUCGUUCACGAUCAUCUGCCUGUUCUCGCGGAAGCACUUGAAGAUCGCCGUCUGAACGCCUAGAAACGGAAGUGGCAUUUUAACGCUAUCUUCUGUUUCUCUUUACGAUUUUCCUUCGAACGUAAUUCUUCCGGUCGUAUGAUCUUCGCCGAGAUCGCGACUUGCUCGAAAGGAUCGAAGGGUCGCGCGGUAUUCGAGGCCAGUUAUCGUCGUUGUCGAGAAUGGAAAUUAAGAAAGG
rnacentral:misc_RNA from 1 species